GAGCCGGGCGGCUUUUACUGUAAAAGACCCGGCUAGCUACACCCACCAGAAGCGCACUAGACGGCGCCGGCCGGGCGGCUCGGGGAGACGGCGGGGGCAUCGCCCUGACACCCACCCCCUCACCCCAGCCCGGAGCCGAGCCCCUGCCUGCACCUCCUGACACCCCCGACACCCUGCCCGCACCCCCUGCCCCCCAGCCCGGCUGCCCGCGGGCCACCGAGCCGGGAUCGCCGAGAGGGAUGAGGAGAAACCCAGCCCCGAGGCACUGGAGGGCUGUGUUGCUGGAACUGGGGGAUGAAAGGCUUCAUCAGCGUACAAAAGGUAAAUGAAUACCACUGCCAUCUGAGGAAAUUGCCAAGUGGCCUGGGAGAGUACAGGGAAACUGAAAAGUAAAGAAGUGGUUUUCCUUUGGGAAGCCAGAGGAGCAAAGAGGAGUAUGAAGGACAGGAGCUAGGUACUGCUCUAGCAUCCAGACUACCUGUUGUACCCACGUGGAACCUUAAAGCAUGAACAUUUCACUCUAAACUAAUGGAGGGAUUGAGCUUUACUCUUGAGGUUCUCUAGGUCUUUUUAAUUUUCUAAGGGAGAAAAACCUUAGAUUUUGCAUGUCUGCACAUGUUCUCACACGCCUGUGUUUUGUAGGGUGCUGGUAACAGUGGAAAUUUUGCUAAAAAGUAUUUUUUAAAGCUCAUUCUGCACUCCUUGAAAAGCCACAAGGCAAAUCCGGAGCAUUGCCUGCUUAUCCUCAGUCCAAACAUGUCAAGGUGUAGCUUCCUGAAACUUCAAAAAAAAAAGAACUCAACUCUGCAGUCAUGUUUGUGCUGGAUACACAAAUCUGGUGAUUCCACCAAGUUGAGGAAAUGAAAACAUGCAAGUGAGUGGUGUUGUGAAUCAAAUCAUCAACAUUAUCAAUAAAACAAUACUGAGAGUUGGUUGCUGAAUGAGCAAGACAUUGGCCAACUUGUAUGCCAAGGUUGGAUGUGAAUCGCAGCAGCUUACCCCAGAGUGGCAUCCUUUUCUCCAUCUCUUUUUCUACCUUAACUUUAUUUCUGAGUGUG